rnacentral:rRNA from 1 species
AUUGAACGCUGGCGGCAUGCUUUACACAUGCAAGUCGAACGGCAGCACGGACUUCGGUCUGGUGGCGAGUGGCGAACGGGUGAGUAAUACAUCGGAACGUACCCAGUAAUGGGGGAUAACUAUCCGAAAGGAUGGCUAAUACCGUAUACGCCCUACGGGGGAAAGAGGGGGAUCGCAAGACCUCUUGGUAUUGGAGCGGCCGAUGGCUGAUUAGCUAGUUGGUGAGGUAAAGGCUCACCAAGGCGACGAUCAGUAGCGGGUCUUAGAGGACGAUCCGCCACACUGGAACUGAGACACGGUCCAGACUCCUACGGGAGGCAGCAGUGGGGAAUCUUGGACAAUGGGCGCAAGCCUGAUCCAGCAAUGCCGCGUGUGUGAAGAAGGCCUUCGGGUUGUAAAGCGCUUUUGUCAGGGAGCAAAUCCUUGUGGCUAAUACCCACCGGGGAUGAGAGUACCUGAAGAAUAAGGACCGGCUAACUACGUGCCAGCCGCCGCGGUAAGAC